rnacentral:rRNA from 1 species
UACAGAGGUCCCAAGCGUUGUUCGGAUUCAUUGGGCGUAAAGGGUGCGUAGGCGGCGUCGUAAGUCGGGUGUGAAAUUUCGGAGCUCAACUCCGAAACUGCAUUCGAUACUGCGGUGCUUGAGGACUGGAGAGGAGACUGGAAUUUACGGUGUAGCAGUGAAAUGCGUAGAGAUCGUAAGGAAGACCAGUGGCGAAGGCGGGUCUCUGGACAGUUCCUGACACUGAGGCACGAAGGCCAGGGGAGCAAACGGG